rnacentral:lncRNA from 10 species
GCAAUCCCUACAAGGGCAGCUCUUGGGGCACAGAUCAGGGGUGAAAUGGAGACAAGAUCUGGAUGGGCAAAGGAAGGAGAUCCAGCUCACGUUUCAAGGCCAACUCCUCCCCAAGUGCACGACAAUCCCUCCCAUUGAAGGCGCCAAGAAGGAACUCACUGUCAUCGCCGAGACCAGAGUCAGCGGGUGAAGGCAGCGACCAGUUCUGGAACCACAUUCAGUCCCACACCCAAGCAGCUGAGCGAAACUCUUCCUCCUCCACGAGGCCUCUCCCAGCCCUUCAGUUCAUGACGCCUUGGUGAGAGAGGAGGAUCAAAUCAGGCAGGAAUGCAACCACAUCAGUCACCUGGAAGGAACGCAGGCAUCCGCAGAGGAGGGGGUGAGGUGUGGAGUCUCUGCCCGAACAUCGGUUAAGUGCAUCGAACACCCGGGGCUGGCUCAAUUCCUUUCUACACCUGCCAAGAAAAUCUAAGUGGAUAAUGAUGCUGACCAAUCAAUGGGCCGUGGGCAACACAGGAAAUCAGUGGGCCCGCAAAAAGCUGGGCACCACGUGUUACGGUUGGGAAAUGAAUCUUCAGUGACAGAGCCCACAGAGGAAAACACCCAAACCUGACCCUCCCUUUAACCUUGCGAGCGCUAUCACUCAGCCAGAUACCACCACUGUUUCCCGAGGACUAAGAGAGAUGGCUCUUUGCCUGGUGGAGCUGUGAGGAAGAUGAUGGGAAACGGGCAUGCUGGCAUCGGAGUUUUUCUGGAUUGGAAAAAGAGGAUUUUACUUUUCAGCACCUGCCAGCAUGAUAGGUUUGCCAAGAAUUCUACACUAAACAAACACACACGCCUACAUCACCCCUCCUCCCAAGCAGGCAUAACCCACUGGGGAAGGAAACAGCUCAGGAAGGCGGAUGGCAGGGGUUCGUGAACCUUGCUAGUUUCCAGGGCACGAUCCAUUUUAAUCUCCGCCAGAGGACUUAAAAAUCUAUUCUGUCAAUAUCUCCCUUAUUAGUAAAGUUUGGGUCCCAAAGCAAGAAAACUAAGGCUUAAUUUUGACUUAGAAGAUUGUUGUUGUUGUUUUAUUAUAAGUUUUGAUUAUGUAGUAUGUGUGUGUAUAUAUGUUAUUCACUACAUACA